AUUGAACGCUGGCGGCGUGCCUAACACAUGCAAGUCGAGCGAUUCUCUUCGGAGAAGAGCGGCGGACGGGUGAGUAACGCGUGGGUAACCUGCCCUGUACACACGGAUAACAUACCGAAAGGUAUGCUAAUACGAGAUAAUAUACUUUUAUCGCAUGCUAGAAGUAUCAAAGCUCCGGCGGUACAGGAUGGACCCGCGUCUGAUUAGCUAGUUGGUAAGGUAACGGCUUACCAAGGCGACGAUCAGUAGCCGACCUGAGAGGGUGAUCGGCCGCCGUUGAACUGAGAACCGGUCCAAAAUCCUACGGGGGGGAGCAGUGGGGAAUAUUGGAAAAAGGGCGAAAGCCUGAUGCAGCAACGCCGCGUGAGUGAUGAAGGCCUUCGGGUCGUAAAACUCUGUCCUCAAGGAAGAUAAUGACGGUACUUGAGGAGGAAGCCCCGGCUAACUACGUGCCAGCCGCCGCCGUAAUAC
rnacentral:rRNA from 1 species